CCUACGGGCGGCAGCAGUGAGGAAUAUUGGUCAAUGGACGAAAGUCUGAACCAGCCAUGCCGCGUGAAGGAAGACGGCUCUAUGAGUUGUAAACUGCUUUUGUAUGAGGGUAAACGCAGAUACGCGUAUCUGUCUGAAUGUAUCGUACGAAUAAGGAUCGGCUAACUCCGUGCCAGCAGCCGCGGUAAUACGGAGGAUUCCAGCGUUAUCCGGAUUUAUUGGGUUUAAAGGGUGCGUAGGCGGUCGGAUAAGUUAGUUGUGAAAGCCCGAGGCUCAACCUCGGAAUUGCAUCUGAUACUGGUCGGCUAGAGUAUAGUAGCGGUAGGCGGAAUUCAUGGUGUAGCGGUGAAAUGCUUAGAGAUCAUACAGAACACCGAUUGCGAAGGCAGCUUAC
rnacentral:rRNA from 1 species